AGAGUUUCAUGUAAAUUGGGACGGAGAAAGUAUAUAUACAUAUAUAGUGAUAUUACGUCAAUAGAUUAUAGACGGUGGUAAUCAUAGCUAAACCACCAAUCAAAGAAUGCACAAUCUGCAAACAUAAAGAUGUCAGUAAUAUUAAAUCAAGAAUAUCAAAUAGGCGAAAAAUUGGAUCUUGGCUGGUAGAAAGAAGGGGAAGAGACUAAGGGCAAUAACAACAAUGAACACAUGACUUUUCAUUUUUCUGUAGUUGAAGACGCAACUCUGGUUUUUUUCCAUUUUUUAAAUAAAGGGUAGUUUUUUUUUUUUAAAAAAAAAGGAAUAGGCCAAAAAAUUGAGGAAAAAAAUUAAGAAUAAUGAUAAAGAAAUCUGAUACACAAAGAAUGACUAAUACACAAGUCUAAUGAAGAAAUGCAGACCUUUUAGAAGUUUGAAAAUCAUCCAUGGAGUCUAUUUCAAGUUCAUCCAUCUUCUCUACAAGAAAGAGAUCUCCUACAAGGAAGUGAUAUUUAUUGGAAUCACUUGCACCAUUUGCUUGCACUCGUAAAUCACAAUUCCUUUGGUAACUUAAUCUUAAUUGCAAUGUAAAUUCUCCUUGCGUGACCCUGGUUGGAAUCCUCCAUCAUGAAUGGAUAUAUACUUAAGAAGGGAAUGCAGAUAAAUUAUAGAACUGCAAAGGGGAAUAUAGGUAUUUGCCGUUACAAGUGAUUAAGGUGAGUAAAAGGUGUCCUUUGGAACAGGUGUCAUUAAAAGGACAAUAAAUUGGGGGAAAAGGCCAAAAACUAAUAAGUUAUUAAGAGGGGGUGAUAAAGUGCCUUUUGGAAUAGCUGCAAUUAAGGCUUUUGCUGAAGUGUCUUUUAGAUUUUUAGCCGAACAGCAUUAACAAUUAAUUGGGAAAAAAUUUAAAAAAAAAAGCUAAAAACUGAGAAAAAAGAUAAAUGUGUUUUUUUAUUUGAGAGAGUGUCGUAUCAUCGGGCCUAUGUAUCUCUUUUAAUUAUACAUAGAUAUAGAUAUAGAUAGUCACUUCCCUCGCAUCUUUUCCUCAUUAUUUUCCCACUCAUCGCUUCACUUCCUCUUCCUCUUCCGUUACAACCCUUACGCUCAGACCGCUUCUUCCUUGCAUUCUCUUCUUUCUGCUUUAUCUCUCUGUUGCCAAGUUACUUGUGCUUUGGUCUAUUUAUUCCAGUCCGUUGCAUCACAUCAGUGCAGAGGAACUACUACAUCACAAAUUGUGCCCAACUUAAUUGUGGAAAAAUAGGAAGAAUACGAGAUACUUAUUAUGACGCCCAUGAACUGUUCGAAAAGAUGCCCUAUAGAGAUCUUGCCCAUGCCUUCAGAGAAAGGUAUUAAUUACUCAACAGAUGAAAGAUGCCCUAUAGGGACAGCUUCAGGAAAGGGUAUUAUUUAUUCAACAAACAGGUCAGUAAUUCUUUGAAAGUAAAUCUUUACCUAUAUGUGUUCUUGGGUUAUAUUUGCAGCAUGUAAAAUCUACACCUUUUUAGUUUAACAACUAAUAUAUUCCACAAUUACACUCAACCUGGUUCAACGCCUAAUCUAAUGGUGUAGGUGUUUUCCUUUUCUUUUUCUCUGUUAGACACUUUCUAAUAUCACCAUUGCUAAGGUUUUGUACUUAGGUCCCUUUGCAUCCUAAUGAUACUUUUGAAGUCAGCAUAACAAAGGAAGGAUAUGGACCUAAUAUAGUAAAUUAAGUUAUAUACAAUGGUAGUACAAUGAACUUGUAUACUAUCUGUGUAACUUUAACAUAUUAUUGCAGGUUAUUUACUCUUUUAUAAACUAUUUGUUGUAAAAAGUUACAUACCCCUGCAGGUAACUUAACCUUAUAGUGUAAAAAAAUUAUACAUCACCACCAUGAGUGCACAAAACUUUCUCAUUUAAAAUUAGGUGUAUGUAUGUGAUUGAUGGAAGUUAGUGUAGCAAAGGUUCUCCACUGUUAAAACUAAGAAACUCAUUGUUUUUUUCUACCUGUCGAUGGACAAAGGUUCUCCAAUGUAUCAAAAAAUUCGGCGAAUGAUUUGGAAACAUGUAAGAAAUCGGUAGUGUCAGGAAUUGGUAAUUGAAUAGCCAACGUCGAUAUCUAUGUCUUUCGAUACUAUGGCUCGAGUUCUUAUAUUGGUUAUUCUCCUGCUCCGGCAAACAAUUCGUUUCCUCUGGAUAUGAAGUCAGCAUUUUCUUUCUUACACUGUGUAUUAGAGAUCGGUAAAUUGGUUUAAUUUCUAAGCGCUGAGAUUUAUGUCAUUCGAUGACCGUAAGUCGAACGAAUCCUUAUGUUGAUUCUCCUGCUUCUACCAACAUUUUUUCGGCCUUCAGUACUAAUACAAUGUUUUCUUUCUUAGUUCGCAUAAAUAUACCGUAUACUAGAGAUUGGUUUCCAAAUUGGUUCAAAUUAUAUUUGUUUUAAUAAAAAAGAAACAAUAUGAAAAAGAAGAGUAAUGCACUGAUUUGCAUGUAGCUAACAGAUGCAUAUUGUUAAUUGUUAACGGACCAGAAUGUAGUUCUGUCUUAUUGGAUGUUGUUUUACCAUUUCAAUUGAUAGCUAUGGAACUUUAGUAUUCUUUCUAUUUUUUGGAAAAAAAGAUAAGUAAAGUAACUUUUUUGAGUAAAGAAACAGCAUCAAGAGAAUGCUGGCAGUUACAGCCUACAAGUAUGGAACUUUGCUUUCCUCAUAGCACCUUCUGGUUCCAGCUGGACGUUGUGAUUUUUAGCCUACGGGUACGAAACUUUGCUUAAUUAUUGUUAUUUUGGUUACAGAUUUGGUUAUAGAUUUGUGUCUAACAGUCUAAGUAAUAUAUGUACCUAACUCUUCAAAAAACAAGAAUAUUGACUAGCACACUUUCUAACCUGAAGUUGAAGAACAUAAUUUGUACUAAUGAUAUAAGUGAUCAUGAAGAUGAAAAGGAUACUGAAUAGAGCCACAUUCCCUCGGAGAAACAGAAAUUUGCCCCCAGAAAGAGACUCCUGCUUCUUAAUCCUGGUGGUGUUCUGAUUCUUAAGGUGAACCGUCAAGACCGUGGCCACUGUUCUAAGCUACAUCACAGACUUGGUUCGCGGAAGCUUUACAUAUUUCUCUGUUUUCUUUAAACUGUCUUCUCUUCUUCUUUUUCCCAGAUAUUUAGUACUUACGUCUAUUAGAUACACUUUGCUGGACUUCCCGAUCUCUUUUGUAAUCUUGAUAAGUGAAAUUCGUGCACAAAAGAAUAUGUAUUACGAAGUUAUAAA